rnacentral:rRNA from 1 species
UGGGGAAUUUUGGACAAUGGGGGAAACCCUGAUCCAGCCAUCCCGCGUGUGCGAUGAAGGCCUUCGGGUUGUAAAGCACUUUUGGCAGGAAAGAAACGUCGCGGGUUAAUACCCCGCGAAACUGACGGUACCUGCAGAAUAAGCACCGGCUAACUACGUGCCAGCAGCCGCGGUAAUACGUAGGGUGCAAGCGUUAAUCGGAAUUACUGGGCGUAAAGCGUGCGCAGGCGGUUCGGAAAGAAAGAUGUGAAAUCCCAGAGCUUAACUUUGGAACUGCAUUUUUAACUACCGGGCUAGAGUGUGUCAGAGGGAGGUGGAAUUCCGCGUGUAGCAGUGAAAUGCGUAGAUAUGCGGAGGAACACCGAUGGCGAAGGCAGCCUCCUGGGAUAACACUGACGCUCAUGCACGAAAGCGUGGGGAGCAAACAGGAUUAGAUACCCUGGUAGUCCACGCCCUAAACGAUGUCAACUAGCUGUUGGGGGCCUUGCGGGCCUUUGGUAGCGCAGCUAACGCGUGAAGUUGACCGCCUGGGGAGUACGGUCGCAAGAUUAAAACUU